AGAACUUUCCAGAGAUGGAUUGGUGCCUUCGGGAACUCUGAGACAGGUGCUGCAUGGCUGUCGUCAGCUCGUGUUGUGAAAUGUUGGGUUAAGUCCCGCAACGAGCGCAACCCUUAUCCUUUGUUGCCAGCGGUUAGGCCGGGAACUCAAAGGAGACUGCCAGUGAUAAACUGGAGGAAGGUGGGGAUGACGUCAAGUCAUCAUGGCCCUUACGAGUAGGGCUACACACGUGCUACAAUGGCGCAUACAAAGAGAAGCGACCUCGCGAGAGCAAGCGGACCUCAUAAAGUGCGUCGUAGUCCGGAUUGGAGUCUGCAACUCGACUCCAUGAAGUCGGAAUCGCUAGUAAUCGUAGAUCAGAAUGCUACGGUGAAUACGUUCCCGGGCCUUGUACACACCGCCCGUCACACCAUGGGAGUGGGUUGCAAAAGAAGUAGGUAGCUCAACCUUCGGGAGGGCGCUUACCACUUUGUGAUUCAUGACUGGGGUGAAGUCGUAACAAGGUAAGCGUAGUGCU
rnacentral:rRNA from 1 species